rnacentral:rRNA from 1 species
UACAGAGGUCUCAAGCGUUGUUCGGAUUCAUUGGGCGUAAAGGGUGCGUAGGCGGCAUGGUAAGUCGGAUGUGAAAUCCCGGGGCUCAACCCCGGAACUGCAUUCGAUACUGCUGCGCUAGAGUACUGGAGAGGAGAUUGGAAUUUACGGUGUAGCAGUGAAAUGCGUAGAGAUCAUGAGGAAGACCAGUGGCGAAGGCGGGUCUCUGGACAGUUCCUGACACUGAGACACGAAGGCGAGGGGAGCAAACGGG